GAUGAACGCUGGCGGCGUGCCUAAUACAUGCAAGUCGAGCGAACGGACGAGAAGCUUGCUUCUCUGAUGUUAGCGGCGGACGGGUGAGUAACACGUGGAUAACCCACCUAUAAGACUGGGAUAACUUCGGGAAACCGUAGCUAAUACCGGAUAAUAUUUUGAACCGCAUGGUUCAAAAGUGAAAGACGGUCUUGCUGUCACUUAUAGAUGGAUCCGCGCUGCAUUAGCUAGUUGGUAAGGUAACGGCUUACCAAGGCAACGAUGCAUAGCCGACCUGGGAGGGUGAUCGGGCACACUGGAACUGAGACACGGUCCAGACUCCUACGGGAGGCAGCAGUAGGGAAUCUUCCGCGAUGGGCGAAAGCCUGACGGAGCAACGCCGCGUGAGUGAUGAAAGUCUUCGGAUCGUAAGACUCUGUUAUUAGGGAAGAACAUAUGUGUAAGUAACUGUGCACAUCUUGACGGUACCUAAUCAGAAAGCCACGGCUAACUACGUG
rnacentral:rRNA from 1 species